CCCAGACAGGAACAAGGAACCCUGUGUUUAGACGCAGUGUCUUCUGAGGACCCUGAUGUCCUCCCAGGCCCUCAUUCUCUGCACAACCCUGAGCCAGCCUCUAUGUGUGGCUUCUUCAUCUGAGGUGCAAAGAAGUGACUUGUCAAAGGUUGCCAGUGAAGCUCGGGCUGUGGCUCCAAGACCAGGGGUGGGGGUGGGGUUUCUGGAUGCUGUGAAAGCCACCAGGCAGAGCUCUCAGGGUCUCAGGGAGGAUCUAAGUCCCAGAUUACAAGUAACCUCUGCCCCCGUUAUACAGGGAGAGAGUUGGGGCUGGUCCGUGGCUUCCUCACCCCCCAUCUAUCAACAGGUACAGUUCUCAGGAAACUGGGCAUCUUCUCCUGGGAAGCAUCAGGCAGGCAAAUUCCCUUCUCUUACUUCUAUUGUGUCCCCAGCCCUCCGCUUCCCGCUGGGAGGGGCCAGGAAAGCCAAGUCUGGAGAGAAGAUGCUCAGCUGAGUCUUUGAAUUCAAUGGCAAAUGCAGGUGGCACUAAGGAUCCAGGAAGAAAGUCCAGAGGGUUCGACUGGGCUUGGGAGAAGCUAGAUUUGGGCCUAGGCUGGGCCAGGAUGGAGGAAGGGGUGGGGUAUCUCUGCACCUCUCCGGUGGCCUCUGCUGUGAGGGAGGGCCAGUCUGUCCCUUGGACCUAGAGGACUGUUUUAAGUGUAAGUGCAAGAGAAAUGCAGGGAAUGGAGCUUUAAAAAAAAGAAAGAAAGAAACAGAGGGUCUCCUUUCGCAUCGCUGGGGCCUCUAGAAAGACGCUGGGUUGCAGGCCUUGAACACCUUGUGAUGGUGUUCUUUGUAUACUGGGCUUAUGAAGCGUGAGCAUACAAAAGGCAAUUAGCUCUUCUUUUGUGUGAUAUUUCUUUCCAAGGAGGACAAAUGAGAAGAAUCAGAGAGUAAAAGGUCACACGGGACAAACAGACCCUCGAGAGAGAAGACUGGUGGUGAAGAGGGCCUGUUGGGACGGAACAGACUCCCCAGUAUCUUCCUUUUUCAUUUGAGGCUUGUCCCUGGUACCAAAAAGGUUGGGCCCUGCUGCUCUGUAAGGUUACGGACCCUCUCGUUGGAGGCUGAUCUGAGAAUGAAAGUCUGUGCACACAUCCUACUUGGAGUCCAAAGCAACUCUUGGAACAGAUUCUCAGCUGGCAGAGGAUGGCAAAGAAAAAAGACGAGAUGACAUUUGCUUUUCUUCACCACCCGACUUAGUCUGCAAAUGCACUUUGGGACAAGGCCCAUGGAAUGUGGCCUCUGCUCUCAAGUCGUUGAGUCUACUGGGGCAUCACAGAGGAGGAAGAGGGGCAGCUGGUGCUCUUGGCUUGGCUGGGGGCCCAGGAGGAUGGACGACGAAGCUGGGUGCUUCACAGGCACCGGGAGCCUAAAGCGCCCCCCCCCCCUGGAGGAAACAGAGCUGCACCGGUUGCUGGGGUGGGGAUGGGGAGAGCAGAAUGCUGCAUUGUCCCCAGGUUCCCACACAACCUCAGGACCAGAGAUGAGGACAGGAGGUAGCGUCACAGGUAGCCUCGGUGCUGCCUGGGUGGCUUCUUUACCUCCCCUCCGCUUGCUUUCCCCACCCUGAAAUGGUACAGAGAGGAUUUCUGAGCUGCACAAAUAAAGCAAAUUCAUAUCUAUUCAUUGCCAUCCUGUCCUCAUGUUCAAGCCUCUCAAAUUUUAAUUUGGGAGCUUUUAGAAAGGCAAAUUUAUUUGUGACACCAUCCAAAUUCUAUUUUAUUGGGCUUCUAUUCUCAAAGGAUGCAGUUGACUCCUGAGAAAGCUGUGGGCUUCUCCUUUUGAUAUUUUCCCAAAUGCUGUGUGAGUGUGUGUGUGUGUGUGUGUGUGUGUGUGUGCAUACACAAGCAUGCACAUUCAUUUUUGGGUUUUCUACAUAUCUGAUGUACAAACACAUGCUGCAUACUCACAAGCAGCCACAGAAGUGUGUGUAGAUUCAUCACAUGUAUGUGUAAUGUACUGUAGGCUCCUAUAAGCCAAUAUUUAAGUUAUCAUAUUUAAUUUAUUCAACAAACAUUUAAUAAGCACUUACUAUUCAUUAAAUUCCAUCAUAAGCCCUGAUUAUUGUAAUGAGUAGGUUUUGGGCAAAGCCAUGGCUUUUGGGAAUUGAUAUUUAAAUCUACUGGCUUCCUAAUAAAAGGCUUCCAACAAAUGUGAGGAAAUCUGUACGGACAGUCCAGUGUGCUGACUGGAUGUGUCAGUAGAGAGGUGACUUUUGGGCAAACUGAUGACAAGGAAGAGUGACAUUAGCUUCUUGGCUAUAGGUCACCUCCCUGGGCUAUGAGACCUGGCCCUGGUAGCACAGUUCUGGGUGCUUCUCAUUAGAGAUGAGAAUGCUGGGGCAGGGAUCAUCGGGACCACUCCUCGGUGACAUUUUUAGCUCUUAACCCCAUGUUCUUGGUCAUGUCCUAUGCACACUUCCAUGUGGUUUUCAAUGGCUUCCUCCUUCAUGAAACCUUCCCAGCUCAUCCCAGGCAGGCCUAACAUUUUUCUCUUAUGAGCUCAUCCUAACAUCUGGGUGAUUCAAUGGGUACUUAAAUGAUUUGUACUUUGUUAGGGAUCAUCCUUUAUUCUAAAUGUAUGUUGCUCUUUCGAAGAAUACACAGAGAAUUUCUAGUGAUGCAAGGAGGAAGGAACCUGGUUCUGCCUGUUUGGGGCUCUCGGUGAACACAUUUGUAAUUUAGAGUGACAGAAGUGACAGAAGUGUGCUCAGGGUGCUCUGGGGAGAUUGGUGGUGAGGUGGUGCCCAGCUAGGUGGUGACACCUAGCUGCUCCCUAAAGAAACCACAGACUCUUUGGGGGGAAGGGACUUUACCUAAGUCUCUCUAAUCCCCUAUACCUGGGACGACCAAAUUUUCUUGUCCUAUAAUUUAAUUUUUUAAAUAGCACUUUAAAGUCUGAUGAUAAAAAUAAAUAUUACAGAAAAUUUGAAAAAACUAGUCAAGCCCAAACACAAGCAUAAAAAUCACUUGUAAUUCUACCACAACUACCUAGAUUUGACUACUAGGAACGUUCUGGUACAUAUGAUUUCCAUGCACCCAAAAUGGGUUAUUCUCCAUUUAUUUUUAACUUGCUUUUAAUGUAACAAAGGCACUAAUAUUUAUCUUCAUUUGCUUUAAUGGCCACAUAUUAUUUCAUAUCCAUCACUUAGUUGGUGGUCCUUUCCCUCUGGAUGAACAGGUCAGGUCUAAUUGCUUUUUGUGCAUUGCUCACCUUAAACUACACACAGACACAUAGCAUUGUGGGUAAAAUGUUGCUGCCAAUCUUUAUCCUUUACUUAGUAAUAGAGCACCUGGUAGGUCCUAUCUUAAUUUGGUAGAUAUCAUUUCUGAAUAUAAAUUUCUAGAAGGAGAUUGUUGGAUUGAAGAUUAAAUACAUUUUAAAGGCAUUGACAUUUGAUAUUUGCAUCCAAGUAACCCUGCAAAAGAGUUCUCAACAAUUCCCACCAGCACUCUAUGAGAAGACUCUGGAUGUUAUUUUUUUUUUAAACAAAACUAAAUUCAAUUUGUUGGUCACAGUUGAUGUAAGGAGAGAUAGAUGGUUUGUUGCAUCUGUUUGUAUUUCUGACUAUUGACUACUAGCAUUUUUUUUUCUUUUCUGGCUUUUUUUUUUUUUUUUUUUUUUGAUAUUGGGGAUUGAAACCAGGGAGCACUUGGUUACAACCUCAGUUCUUUUUUCUUAUUUUCUCAUUAAGGUCUCAGGUUGCCAUUGAACUUGUGAUUGUCUUAUCUCAGCCUCAGUAGUUAGGAUUAUUGGCUACCAUCACACCUGUUCAUUUUUCAUGAUUUUGUGUUACAUUUCUUUUUAAAGAACUCCUUAGGCUAGCGUUGUAGCUUGGUGUUAAAGCAUGUGCCUAACAUUUACCAAGCCUGAAGUUUGAACCCUAGCAGUAAAAAAGUCCUAUUGAUGUCUUUUGGCCAUUUAAAAUUUUUUCUAUCGAUUAAGAAAUGAGUUAGUAGUGGUUAACAUUUAUGGAGAGCCUACUAUUUUCCAGGUGCUGCCAUCAGUCCUCCAUGUAUUGCUUAAUUUCUUUUACUUCUUCAAGAAUCCUAUGAGGUAUACACAAUUGUCAUCUUACUGAUUCAUCAGUGCUUAUAUGUCAGGGGCAAGGGACCUUUUGUGAGAUAUACACAUUAUGAUACAUAUUCAUAUAUAUAUAUGACUUUUUUCAAUGUGUUCAAUAUGUUUUAUCUUUGGAUGCUUUUAUUUAUAGAAGUUUGAAGGUUUUAUGAGGUUAGAUGGAUCAUUUAUUUUACUUUGCAUCCAUGUAUAAAAUGGUCUCUUCUUAUAUUAAGAUUUGAGAAAUGUUCAUGUAUUUUUAAUUCUUUAAUGGCUUAAUUUUAACAUUUAAUUUAACAUUAAAAACUAAGAAUUAAUUAUGUAACCCACUUAGAAUUUAUUUUAUCAUAGGAGAAAGAACUUGAGUAUCUUUUUCCCAUCCCACAUGGAUAGCCAAUCAUUCCCAAGCUGCUUGUGGCAUAAUCAAUCCCUUCUGUUUUGAAAUGAACCCUUUAUCAUAUCUGAGUAUUUUAAUCUGUUUCAGAUCUUUCUUUUAUGUGUCAAUAUGUCUGUGUGUUUUUCACUACUACCAUAUUUUUAAAUUAUUGUACUUUUACAAUGUGUAUUAAUAUCUAGAAGUAGACAUGCUCUGUCUGACCCAUUAUCCUUGUUAAUCUUCUUUUGCAAAACUUUCUUGAAUAUUCUUUGUAUGCCCCCCACAGGGUGGAAUCAUCUUAAAUUUCAAUAAAGAUUAUUUUAUCAA